rnacentral:rRNA from 1 species
CACGUAGGCGGCCGCGCAAGUUGGAUGUGAAAGCCCAGGGCUCAACCUUGGAAGUGCACCCAAAACUGCGUGGCUUGAGUUCCGGAGGGGCCCAGAGAAUUCCCGGUGUAGAGGUGAAAUUCGUAGAUAUCGGGAGGAAUACCAGUGGCGAAGGCGCUGGGCUGGACGGAUACUAACGCUGAGGUGCGAAAGCGUGGGGAGCAAACA